AUUGAACGCUGGCGGCAGGCCUAACACAUGCAAGUCGAGCGAGCGGCGGACGGGUGAGUAAUGUAUGGGGACUGCCCGAUAGAGGGGGAUAACUACUGGAAACGGUGGCUAAUACCGCAUACUAUCGGAUAACCCAUAUGGGAUUAGCUAGUAGGUGGGGUAAAGGCUCACCUGGGCGACGAUCUCUGGCUGGUCUGAGAGGAGGAUCAGCAAAAGUGGGACGGGGAAACGGCCCAGACUCCUACGGAGGCAGCAGGGGGGAAUAUUGGAAAAUGGGCGAAAGCCUGAUGCAGCCAUGCCGCGUGUAUGAAGAGGGCCUUAGGGUGGUAAAGUACUUUCAGCGGGGAGGCGUUACCCGCAGAGGAAGCACCGGCUAACUCCGUGCCAGCAGCCGCGGUAAUAC
rnacentral:rRNA from 1 species